UACGUAGGGUGCGAGCGUUAAUCGGAAUACUGGGCGUAAAGCGUGCGCAGGCGGUGAUGUAAGACAGAUGUGAAAUCCCCGGGCUCAACCUGGGACCUGCAUUUGUGACUGCAUAGCUAGAGUACGGUAGAGGGGGAUGGAAUUCCGCGUGUAGCAGUGAAAUGCGUAGAUAUGCGGAGGAACACCGAUGGCGAAGGCAAUCCCCUGGACCUGUACUGACGCUCAUGCACGAAAGCGUGGGGAGCAAACGAGG
rnacentral:rRNA from 1 species